UACAGGGGGCUCGAGCGUUAGUCGGAAUCACUGGGCUUAAAGGGUGCGUAGGCGGUCCAUCAAGUGUUCUGUGAAAUCCCCGAGCUCAACUCGGGAACUGCAGGGCAAACUGAAGGACUUGAAGCAGGUAGGGGCUGGAAGAACAGUUGGUGGAGCGGUGAAAUGCGCAGAUAUCAACUGGAAUGCCGAUGGGGAAGCCGUCCAGCUGGGCCUGUCUUGACGCUGAGGCACGAAAGCGUGGGGAGCAAACAGG
rnacentral:rRNA from 1 species